rnacentral:rRNA from 1 species
CCUACGGGGGGCAGCAGUGGGGAAUAUUGGACAAUGGGCGAAAGCCUGAUCCAGCCAUGCCGCGUGUGUGAAGAAGGCCUUCGGGUUGUAAAGCACUUUCAGUGGGGAAGAAAGCCUUGGGGCUAAUACCCUCGAGGAAGGACAUCACCCACAGAAGAAGCACGGGCUAACUCCGUGCCAGCAGCCGCGGUAAUACGGAGGGUGCGAGCGUUAAUCGGAAUUACUGGGCGUAAAGCGCGCGUAGGCGGUCUGAUAAGCCGGUUGUGAAAGCCCCGGGCUCAACCUGGGAACGGCAUCCGGAACGGUCAGGCUAGAGUGCAGGAGAGGAAGGUAGAAUUCCCGGUGUAGCGGUGAAAUGCGUAGAGAUCGGGAGGAAUACCAGUGGCGAAGGCGGCCUUCUGGACUGACACUGACGCUGAGGUGCGAAAGCGUGGGUAGCAAACAGGAUUAGAUACCCGAGUAGUC